UGGGAGAAAAAAGUUAUAAGAGGUUUUCAAAACUUUGGUGUCAAAAAUUGUGGGAAAAAUCCCCAAAAGGGGACGACAACCCUUUCGCCAUUAGUGCCCAAUCAUUCAAGUGGGAGUGUAAAAAGGGACCUCCGGGUUUAUAACCAGAAAAAAGUGGGGAAUCACCGUCAAAGUCCUUCAUGCCCCUUACAGGGUUGGCUACACACGUGGUUACAAUGGCAACUUCCAGAGGGUUAAUCCCUUAAAAGUUGUCUCAGUUUCGGGAUUGUCCUCUGCAACUCGAGGGCA
rnacentral:rRNA from 1 species